AUGACGACAAUAUUCAUCAACUAGUACGCUGUCCUGCUGUACUUCCACUUAUACCCUUUGAUGAGGUGGAAGAUGUGUGGUUUAAUGCCCUAACAGACAUAGAUCAGAUUGAUACCAACAUCAACUACACAGCCUUUACAGACUAUGUAACAACAUACUGAGUUGAACAGAACAGUCACCCAUGGAACCACUACUUAACACAAGGACCAAGGACAACAAAUCGUCUAGAGGGAUGGCACAGCAAGAUGAACAAGCUGACGAAACAUGUCACGCAUCCACAUCUAAACAAAUUUAACUUCUGAAACAUGAGGAAGCCUUCAACGCCCUGCCCAUGAUCCAGUAAUGUAUGCCGGUGGGAAGAGAGUGGCCCCCAAAAAGAAGUAUGUAGAAAUCAAAAACAGAUCAGACGAACUUAAGAUUAGACAUCGCAACCAGA
rnacentral:lncRNA from 1 species